CCAACCAAACUGGUUUGCCAGCUGUUGGCUUCGGGCUUUGCGCAGGCAGCGGCAGCGCCGCUUCAGCUGGGCUGUUGCAGAUGGUGUUACCAGCCAAAACAGCCAAACUGGCCACCCUUUCCUGGGUCAUCUCCAGCAAAGGCCAGGGCCGAGUCCAUCCUCUUUGAAACAGAUCUCGCACCUUCAGCUCUGCACAGAUGGGAAGAGUGGAAGCUAAAUGCUCCUUGCUAUUCACAUGUGGAUGUCCUGAAGAGAACGGGGAGAAGUUUGCAUCACCAGGAACGCAGCUCUGCUUUAAGUACUCAUCCCUUAAUCCUCACAGCCUACCUGUGAGACAGAUACACAAGGAGCAGCAGAACCACAGGCAGUUCAGGGGGGUGAUUCAGAGAAUAUUUCCAAUUCCAAGGGCAUGAAUUAAACACGCUCACAUCAAACCAGCACAAAUCCAUCUGUGCCACGCAAAGGAGCCCAUAACUCUCCAGGAGAACUGGAAGAAGGCAUGGACCAGGCUAAAAGGACAAUGCUCAUCGUGGCAGUCUCAGAAACAACUUCAAAAAUCAGCUGUGUCCAUGAAUAAACCCCUAUAAAUUAUGCCCUGGGCCAUGCUGUUCCCCGCCACGUUCCUGUACAUUACGCCGAGUUCUCGACUGCUCCGAGUAUAAACAAACUGCACAGUGGCCCAUUAGUGGUUUUCAAGUUUAUGCUAAGCGUUGCAAUUUAUUGCUGUUCUUUAGGUUAAUGUACUAUUAUUUCAUGUAUUUAUAACAUAUUUCUGGAUUUGUUGUUAAUUAUGAUGUAAUGUUUAGAUACCAAAGAUCAAUCAAGUCCCCAUAGUGUUUACAGAUAUAUGUUAAUGAAGUACAAAGUACACCAGAUCUCUCAUGAUGCAAAGUUUAUUCUAUAGCUCAAGGUCAAUGCCACAUUUAAUACUCACGUCUGUAUAUUAAAAUUUUAUCUAUCCUUUUCUGUCUGGACCAGUAAAGGGAAUAACAGACCUGAGAUUUUGUUUAAUUUGGGAAGCCUUGAGAUAUUUUCGAAUUCUUUUCAGUCCUAGACUCUCUCCAUCUUUCUUCCAGGUUCCCUUCAGGUACUGGAAGGCCACAAAUACACUCCAAAGCCUCUCUUUUCCAGGCUGAACAAUUCCCAUUCUCUUAGCCUUUCCUCACAUGAGAGGGGCUCCAGCCCUCUACACAUUUUGGUGGCCUCUCUGGACUUGCUCCAAAAGGUCAAUGUGCUUCCUGUCUCCUCCUGUUUCCAUCCAAUUAUUCUUCUGUGCUUCUUUCUAGCUUCCACUUUUCUAUUUCCCUGUCUUUUGAACAUUAUGAUGUCAAAUCCUCCAGAAAACUGAAUUAAAAUGUAGCUACCACUCAGAGCCUGCCCUGAGUGACACAGUCAGGUAAUUUAAUACACAGAGUCCUCCAAGGACACAGCACAUGUCAACAGCUCUACUGAGGACCAGCUUUCAAUACCAUACAGAUCAAAAAAUCCUUUCUGCUAUUACAGAAUCACAGAAGCACAGGAUGGCUUGGGCUGGAGGGGGCCACAGAGGCUCAUCUGGUCCAACCUCCCUGCUCAAACAGGGUCAGCCCAGAGCACCUGGCACAGGACUGUGUCCAGGUAAAUCAUGUAACAGCAAGAAAACCAACCUCACAAUGAAGAACCUUGGAUUUAAUAAUAAUGACAAGAAAUAAACCACAUUUUGAUCUUCCCCACUUUUUUUUUUCUUCCUAUCACCCCUCUGUCAGCUGUGUGGAGUUACAUCAGAUGCAAUCUGAUAUUCUGAUAUUCCUGUGCAUUUUACUGCAUUUAAUUAAACUUGGAGUGUAGGACCUGCAACAGGAACAUGACCUGUUCAUGAUCACUGUGCUGUGUCACAGAGAAAAAACACCCUGAUUUGAAGCACCAGGACUCAAGUAUUUAAUUAUACUGUGCAGGGAGAUGGCAGAAAGAAAAAGCCAGUAUCAUUAAACAAUGAGAAAGAGCAGCAGUCCUGAGGAGGUAAGGGUCAAAAUAAAUUAGAAAACUG